CAUACCACCCUGAACACACCGGAUCUUGUCUGAUCUCAGAAGCUAAGCAGGGUUAGGCCUAGUUAGUACAUGUACGGGAGAAAACAAGUA
rnacentral:rRNA from 1 species